CCUACGGGUGACAGCAGUGAGGAAUAUUGGUCAAUGGACGAGAGUCUGAACCAGCCAAGUAGCGUGAAGGAUGACUGCCCUAUGGGUUGUAAACUUCUUUUAUAAGGGAAUAAAAUGUGCCACGUGUGGGAUUUUGUAUGUACCAUAUGAAUAAGGAUCGGCUAACUCCGUGCCAGCAGCCGCGGUAAUACGGAGGAUCCGAGCGUUAUCCGGAUUUAUUGGGUUUAAAGGGAGCGUAGGUGGAUUGUUAAGUCAGUUGUGAAAGUUUGCGGCUCAACCGUAAAAUUGAAGUUGAAACUGGCAGUCUUGAGUACAGUUGAGGUGGGCGGAAUUCGUGGUGUAGCGGUGAAAUGCUUAGAUAUCACGAAGAACUCCGAUUGCGAAGGCAGUUCACUAGACUGCCACUGACACUGAGGCUCGAAAGUGUGGGUAUCAAACAGGAUUAGAUACCCGGGUAGUC
rnacentral:rRNA from 1 species